ensembl:lncRNA
CCCUUCUGUGUGUGUGUGUGUGUACAUAAGUAAGAAUAUGAUAAUCAACAUAAGAUCCCUGGUUUGCAAAUGAUUUUCUGCCCCCGCUGCAGGGCAACAUCAUGUGGUGGUGGAUCUAUGUUGGCUAGUUUAAUACAGAUAUGUAACAGUUGCUUGAUUGCAUGGCCCACUCAGAGUUGCACAGUUUUAAUGUAUGUGGAGAGUGUUUUCACAGUUUAAACAUAGGUUACUCACAUUUCUAGCCUGAUUGUUUCCCAAUAAAAGUGAAAUCAAACAUUACAUUUGAUUUUACUUAUGUAUUUUCCUGUUCUGGGCUCUAUCCAUUAUAUUAACUUUAUUUAAUCUCAAUACUCUUUAUGUGUUUGAGCAACGAUUUUAGUUUUUUUUUUAUUAAACACACCCCGGGUAAAAUAUACACCAUCCCCUGUCAGCCUAAAUCUCCGCUAAAAGCACACUUCAAAGUUUUCUAUCUGGAUUUAUGCCUCCUUUGGCCUCAAGCAUAUACAUAACAUGCAAAGGUUACUGUUAAUGCCCGUUAGACAAGUUUCCAUUAUCUACAACAUUUUGUUUCACCGGCUCACCCUCACACAUUUCUUGUUCACUUAUUGCAUAUUUAUCUUUAACACCAUUUACCUCAGUAGUUGCUAAGCAGAAACAAAGCAACCUGUGGUCCACCUUUACCCUGUAAAAUAAACCCCUGUCAUGUUUGUGUCUGUAAGCAUGUUUUGCAUUCAUUCAUUACACUCCACGCCAUUCCUGCAAGUUAGGAGCUGUAAAGUUGAAAGCUGCAUCAAGUCCAGGCCUUUGGCCUGGCCUAUAUUUAAAUCAUGUGUGUUUGUAAGCGUGCAUGCAAUUCACCUGCUAUGUUCUCAUCUUCCCUCAACAUGUAUCACCUGGACACUCUCACCAGUGAAGCUUAAAACCCUCUUGGAUAGAACAUCAACUCUAAACUAGCACAGUUAUGCAAUGUGUAUAAAAUGAACUAAACCUGUGAAUAGAAUGAAUGUGAUGACAAACCUAUGCAAUGCAAUAUGAACCCUGUAAACAAUAUUACUGGUAAACAAUGCUGUAAAACAUGUUCUUAAUGCAAUCAUAAUAAUGCAGAUUAUAUAAUAGGAAUAAAGAAUUUCCCUCAACCCAGGCAGGGUUCGCAACCCUCGCCAUUAUCUUUACCAACCAUCCUCUGACACAAGGAAUGAUACCACAACUAGCGAUGACCAAUAUUCCCAAAAGUACAGUCAAAGAAAACAUCACUGACACUUGCCAAGUUUACUUAGCCACACCUUUCCAUUGUCCAAACACAGAUGUCAUCCAGGACGCCAGCAUAUUUUCGAUACCUGAGUGCUCAUGCAUGGUUUUAGAUAAUUCGAUUUCGCUCUCCCGUCAGCGAACUCGGACCUAAUUGUUCUGCGAACCCCAUCAUGGCGUCCCUGGUUUGGUCAGAGAGUCUCAGCAGGUUGUAAUGAACAUAAUACGGCCAACAUUUUCCUUAGGCGUUACCCAAAGAAAUAUACUCUCCGAUCCUGCAACUACCUGACUUACCAGCUUGCACUCAUUAGGAACUCCCCUGGGCACUCCUAUGGAGUCUAUCCAGGUCGGCGAGUUCAAACGAGGAUCAUAUGCAUGGGUAGUCUGGGUCCCUCUUUGGCCAAAAUGUAUCUCUUACGUAUGGCAGCUAAAGUUCACGUGUUAUGUUGUGGAAUAGCCUUUACCUGGUUUCCAAUAAGCAUGAUCGG